UUUGACAUCUUCGUUCCUUCCAGCUUUGCUGAGUAAUAGAUUUGUCUAUCCGGCACAUGCAAUUGCAUGAUCAACUUUCUGAGAUGUGUGUCAUGUUCAGGUUCGAUGUAUAUAAUACGCUAGCAAUUAAUUGAAUGGUAUGGUGAGAUGUGUGUCAUGAUCAGGUUCGAUGUAUAUAAUACGCUAGCAAUUAAUUGAAUGGUAUGGCAGGCAAGCUGUGUACCAGUAAGGUUGUAGGUCAUAGCUAUAUGGCAAUGGCUUUGCUGUGAAGACUGAAAUUGAUUGAUGGGAUAUUUGAAGAAACUGUAGAGUUGUGAAGACUGAAAUUGAUUAAUGAGAGAUUCGAGGAACCUGCACUUAGGGCUAUAUGAC
rnacentral:lncRNA from 1 species